rnacentral:rRNA from 1 species
GUCUUUUUGAGAAUAAUUUAAAGUCGGGCCUGCCCAAUGACUAAGUUAAAUGGCCGCGGUAUAUUAACUGUGCAAAGGUAGCAUAAUCAUUAGUUUUUUAAUUGAGAGCUGGAAUGAAGGGUUUAAUGAAAAAAGUUCUGUCUUUAAUUAAAUUUAUUAGAAAUUUAUUUUUAAGUAAAAAAGCUUAAAUUUUUACCAAAGACGAGAAGACCCUAUAGAGUUUUAUAUCUUGAAAGUUUAUUUUAUUUAGUAUUUUUAAAUUAGACUUUAGGGGUAUUUGAUUGGGGUGAUUAAAAAAUUGAAAAAACUUUUUUUUUAAAAAAAUAAACAUUUAUUUAUGACUAUAUGAUCCUUUUUUUAGAUUAAAAGACUAAAUUACCUUAGGGAUAACAGCGUGAUUUUUCUUAGAGUUCUUAUCAAAAGAAAAGAUUGCGACCUCGAUGUUGGAUUAAAAUAAAUUAUUGGUGCAGAAGCUAAUAUGGUGGGUCUGUUCGACCCUUAAAAUUUUACAUGAUCUGAGUUUAGACCGGUUUAAG